rnacentral:ribozyme from 1 species
AGCAAUACCUCGCUGAUACGGGGGUGGAUCCGAAGCCUCUAGAAGGUUAACAUAGGCUCUCCACCUCCUACUCCUACUCAAUACGUCCCCAUCGUACAGAACGGUAGCAUGUCUCUCAAUUAUCCAAGCUUGGGUAUACGGGGAAACUAAACCCCUUGGGCGGAUGGGUUGCAUGGCUAAAUUGAGAGGG